rnacentral:rRNA from 1 species
GACGAACGCUGGCGGCGUGCCUAAUACAUGCAAGUCGAGCGAACAGACGCGAGGCUUGUGCCUCUGACGUUAGCGGCGCACGGGUGAGUAACACGUGGAUCACCUCCCUAUAAGACUGGGAUGACCUCGGGACACCGGCUCUAACACCAGACGAUAUAUUUACCCGCAUGGUCCAUUUGUGAAAGACGUUUUUGCUGUCACUUAUCGCGGGAUCCCUGCUGGUUUAGCUAGUUGGUAAGCUAACGGCUUACCAAGGGAACGAUGCGUAGCCGACCUGGAAGGGUGAUCGCCCGCACGGGAACGAAGCCACGGUCCAGACGACUACGAGAGGCAGCAGUAGGGAAUCGGACGCAAUGGGCGAAAGCAUGACGGAGCAGCGGCGCGUGAGUGAUGAAGGUCUUCGGAUCGUAAAACUCGGUUAUUAGGGAAAAACAAAUGUGUAAGGAACUAUACACAUCUUGACGGUACCUGAUGAAAAAGCCACGGCUAACUACGUG